AGAGUUUGAUCAUGGCUCAGGAUGAACGCUAGCGGCAGGCUUAACACAUGCAAGUCGAGGGGCAGCAUACCCAGCAAUGGGUGAUGGCGACCGGCGGAAGGGUGCGUAACGCGUGAGCAACAUACCCUAUACAGGGGGAUAAGCCAGGGAAACUUGGUCUAAUAUCCCAUAGCAUUUAUUAAUGGCAUCAUUGAUAAAUUAAAGCUUCGGUGGUAUAGGAUUGGCUCGCGUGACAUUAGCUAGAUGGAGGGGUAACGGCCCACCAUGGCAAUGAUGUCUAGGGGUUCUGAGAGGAAGAUCCCCCACACUGGGACUGAGACACGGCCCAGACUCCUACGGGAGGCAGCAGUGAGGAAUAUUGGACAAUGGAUGGAAAUCUGAUCCAGCCAUGCCGCGUGCAGGAAGACGGCCCUAUGGGUUGUAAACUGCUUUUAUACGGGAGCAAUAAGGUCUAUGAAUAGAUUGAUGAGAGUACCGUAUGAAUAAGCAUCGGCUAACUCCGUGCCAGCAGCCGCGGUAAUACGGAGGAUGCGAGCGUUAUCCGGAUUUAUUGGGUUUAAAGGGUGCGUAGGCGGCUUUGUAAGUCAGCGGUGAAAU
rnacentral:rRNA from 1 species